UCUGUUUUAUGUAUUUGGUUUUCAUGGAAGCUUUUAUCUCAACCACAAGAUUCUGUGGUUAAAUGUUUGAGAACCACUGGACUAAACUUCUCUAGCCUUUCUUUGGGCAAAGUGUUUUUUCUGCCUCUCUGAUUAUAGAUGUUCUUUCAGAGACUCAUUUAGACAGGCUCAAAUUUAUAUGCUGUUGAGCUCUUCGGAGUUCCUAUAAAUUAGGAUGCACAUCGAGAUAAUUACCAUUCUGGAAUUCUAAGCACUUAAAUACAAGUCAAUCCUUAUAACCCCCUUUUAAACCAAUUGCCUCACUGCAGACAUGGUCACUGAAUAUAUAUUAUCGAAUGCCAAUAAAACAGGAAACCCGAUCCUGCCAUUUUCCCCAUUAGAUAGUACAGAGGGGUUAAAGCCAGAAUCUCAGCCGUCAUUCUGACGGCAGGAUCGUGCUUCUCUGGACAGUCUAACUCUGGUUGUCAGGCCAGGCACAGGGGCAGACCCAACGCCUUCCAUCCCUUCGGCUCUGUAGAGUCAUGGAGUGGACCAGCUUUUAAUCCCUUGCUUUUGGGAAAGAAACUGGUUUUCUUCUGCGGCCAACUGUGUCUACCAAUCGCCAAAGGAAACAAUAGACCCAGGGCAAGCACUACUCUCAAGUGGUGGCCCUGGGAGGGAGCAGGUCAGCGUCCGAGCCUGGCAUUAAGGCAGCCGAGGCCAGUGGUGGAGCCCAAAAGACCACAGAGAUGGCUUCUCCAGGGCACACCUGCUCUGAAAAGGAGUAUGGGGGCCCGGGGAACCGAGGCAGAGAAUGGUUUUAGGACUCUGUAGAAUCAGAACGAACUUCAUAGAAGAGCCUUAGAAAUGUUGUGGGGAAGCACAUGGAAAAACUAAAAGCCAGACAAGUGACACUCCUUGCUCAGGUCACCCUUAGGUCACAGUAUUUCACUUCUUCCAGGCUGCACUGUGAGCCCUCAGGCCUCUCUCCACAGGGGCUGGGCACGUCAAUGAGGUAACUGACAGAGGAGUGUUUCCCCGAAGGCAAGGAGCCUUCGGGAAGGGAGGGUGAGGGGACGGCGUUUUCCCACCGGGAGCCAUUGCUCAACAGGCAACAGCCAGAACCCAGACCAAAUUCAUCACCAUGUGAGACUCUCAACCCCACCCCGGACUACUACGGACUCCAGAGAAUAGCCAGUGUGUGCGCGAAUUCCCUCCUGCCUCCCUUGGCCGUCCGCCUGAGCCAGUCUGUGCCCGUUAAGUUCAUCUUCAGUUAAAACUGUGACCACACCCCGAACCCUCAGUCCUUGGGCCACCUCUGUACUGAAGCGCUUGCUGUGCGUAUCAGGGAUGGAGCAUCCUGCCCUUUCUGAGGUUGACAGGCUGUGACGAUUCUGAUAGGGACCGGGAAGUCACACAUAGCAUUUACUUCCGUAAAUAGUCAUCCCAUUAAUAAGCAUCCACCGAGAGAAGACGGUUCCUUUGCAGACUCCCAGGCCACAGGCUUCGGUUUCCGGAAAACGUAGAUCGGGACAGCAGAUGAAAUAAAGCCAUCACCAGCCCACAGGACAGUCUCAAGAAGAGUGACUGUCCCUGUCCUCUGCAGGUGUUGCCAGAGGGCAAUUUGCCCUUGAAUCCAAUCUACCAUCCCUAGACUGACAAUUUCAUUUCCCUCCCAGCCCACCCCCUGCCCCGAAGAUCUGCUGAAGCCGCGAGUUCCAGCUAAAGAGCCGGCAGGAUAAUAGUGACUUUCACACUUCAUCUGCCCGUUAUCGCUGAACCCCCAAACCCCGCUUUGCGAGGAUAAGAUGUCGUUGAAAGGAAUGUAGCACAAUCUACUGUUGCAGGAAGGAACGACCACAAAGCACGUGGUUUGUGUGAUGUCUAACGGAUGUCAGGAACUGCUCCAAGAUACAAAAUACUCUUCAGUGCUUCCCUGAGUUUGCUGUGGGCCUCGGGGUACCUCAACCCACAGUUCGGGAAUCGUGGGCUUAAACACAGAAGGUCCAGAAUUAGGGCCCUACUGAUAAUGCCAAAGGGGCAGCUUCUUAAGAUUUCCAACUUCCUAACAAGGGCAUUCAGAUUUCAAAUGUUUAGGCGACUCCGAAGUUGAGUAAUUCAGAAUCUGUGUAGUUAAGCUAACUUGUUGAAACCGAUGAAUUUUAAGGAACCACUUUGGUUCUCUUUCCUGGGUAACAGAUGAGAAACAACGAGAUCUCCUCCCUUCAGCCUCAGGGAUGCUGGAGCUAUGAGUUGCAGGUUGUCUUCAAGAUAUCGACACUUGCCCUGGAGAGUCAUUCGUGGAGAUCGAGGGAAUGACAAUACGCAGGGAACGCAUCUAUGCCACCAGAGUUUCCCAUGUCAGCCCACGCUGGUCAAGAAAGGCAGAGAAUAGUUUCAUUCCAAGCUUAAGCCAAUAUUCUUGCCACUACACCAGGGCGCUGCCCAAUAUGACGGGAAAUAUUACACGAAUGGUAAAAAUGUGAGCUAAGCCCACCCCAUCUCCAAACCCAAAAAGCUUCCGAGACCCCUGAGGUUAAAUGGAGCUAAAUCACCGACACAGUCUCCAAAGCAACUUCUUAUUUAGUUCAGAACUUUCUAUGUGACCCCAAUCAGGUCAUUUUCUAGCUCUUUGUUUCCUUAAAUAGAGCACUGUAGAAGAAGAAGUCACUGUUUUUCUCUAAAGCUACUUAGCAAAUUGCAAAUGAAAGAGAAAAUACACAUGCAACUAAGAGAGUUUGUCACCUUGCUGAACUAAAAAAUAUGGCCCAGUUUCACUUUCUCCUCCCUCUCUCUCUCUCUCUCUCUCUCCAUUUCUCAUAAUUCUCAGCCAAGACAAUAGGAGUCAUGUGAUGUGACCGAGAAAUUGGGCCAGUUAAAAAUAGAAGGCGCACUCCACCAAG